CUGGCUGCGCGUCUCGCGGCUGCGCGUCGGGGGUCUGCAGCCUCGCUCCGCGGUCGCUCCGCCGGGCCCCUGCUCUCGCCCCGCCCAUUCCGCUUUGCAGGGUGCUGGGGGAUUUCCUUUUGCCUCCGGUUGGGGCUGCUAUUUCGCUUCGCUGACGAGAGGAAGAGAAGAAAGUACUCAUGGCAGAGGGGAGAGCAGAGGCAAGAUGGAAUGCAGCCUAUUAGAGGAAAUGUGACUGGAGCAUGUGGUGCAAGUGGAGAGGUGAGAUGUGAAGGUGGAACAAAGAUGCCAGGUCCCAUAAGCCAUCAUAAAGGCAGUGUAGAGCCAUUGAAGGAUUUUAGGAUGGAGAGUGGUAGCUUCAGAAUUUGUAUGUUAGUUAGAUCCAGUUCUUGGAGAAUGGAUUGGAGGAGAAAAGUGGAGGUUAGGGGACCGAGAGAGAGAUGUUUCAGUGGUUUAGGAGAGAAAUAAUGGGGAGAGGACAGAGUCAAGGAUGAGUCCCAGGGUCUGGGAGGAAGGGGUUCCAUUCAUGGGGAGAGAGAACACAGGAGCAAGAGCGAUUUGGGCUGGGGGAGGUGAGGAUCUCCGGAUGAUCCUGCUGAGGUGUCUGUGAGUCGCCUGGAGGAAAGGUCUGGAGGGCAGAGUCAUGUCACAGAAGCAAUCCCAGGAGAAGGAUUGGGAUUGGAGGUGGAGAUUUCGGAACCACAAGCAACUAGAAGGUAGUCAAGCCAUGGGGUUGUCUUUUCGGAGAGAGCAUGAUGUAUGAGAAGAGACAGCCUGGGACAAAACCCAAAGGAACACCCACAGACAGAAAGAGGAGGGGAAGCCUACAAAAGAGAACGAACAGCCAAAGAAGUGGGAGGACACUCAAACCAGCAGAGUGUGGAGUCAUGAAAACAGAAGAGAGGGGUCCUGUGUCAACUGAGGUAAAGAGUCAAGUCAGAUAAGGGCUGCACAUUAUCGCCUGCACUUAGCGACAAAGAGAUCAUUGUUGACCUUGGCAAGAGCAGUUUUGGAGCAGAGAGGGUCCAGAGGUGGCCUUUGGAAUGUAGGAAGUGUGAGAGAGGACUCAUCAAGUGUAGCAACUCAUUCCAGAAGUUUGACUUUAAAUAAUGUUACAUGCAUUGUUGCAUUAAAUCCUCAUAGCAACCGAGGCAAGAGUUUUGGAGAUGAGGAAACUGAAGCUCUGAGAGGUUAAGUAACUUCCCUAUAAAUCAGCACUAGUGAGUAAUGAAGCAAG
rnacentral:lncRNA from 1 species